rnacentral:rRNA from 1 species
GACGAACGCUGGCGGCGUGCCUAAUUCAUGCAAGUCGAGCGAAGCGGCGGAUGGGUGAGUAACUCGUUGGUAACCUGCCCUUAAGUCUGGGAUACCAUUUGGAAACAGAUGCUAAUACCUGAUACUAAAGGAUGGACCUGCGAUGCAUUAUCUAGUUGCUAAGGUAACGGCUUACCACGGCGAUGAUGCAUAGCCGAGUUGAGAGACUGACCGGCCACAUUGGGACUUAGACACGGCCCAAACUCCUACGGGAGGCAGCAGUAGGGAAUCUUCCACAAUGGACGAAAGUCUGAUGGAGCAACGCCGCGUGAGUGAAGAAGGUUUUCGGAUCGUAAAGCGCUGUUGUUGGUGAAGCGGUAAUCAACCAGAAAGUCACGGAUAAAGAAGGGCCAGCCGCCGCGGUAAUUC